rnacentral:rRNA from 1 species
AUUGAACGCUGGCGGCGUGCUUAACACAUGCAAGUCGAUCGGUAACGCGGGGGCAACCCUGGCGACGAGAGGCGGACGGGUGAGGAACGCUUGGGAAUCUGCCUAUCAGCGGGGGACAACACGGGGAAACUCGUGCUAAUACCGCAUACGCUCUACGGAGGAAAGCCGGGGACCGCAAGGCCUGGCACUGAUAGAUGAGCCCAAGCCGGAUUAGCUAGUUGGUGGGGUAAAGGCCUACCAAGGCGAUGAUCGGUAGCUGGUCUGAGAGGACGAUCAGCCACACGGGAACUGAGAAACGGUCCCGACUCCUACGGGGGGCAGCAGUGAGGAAUAUUGGGCAAUGGGCGGAAGCCUGACCCAGCAACGCCGCGUGGAGGAUGAAGGCCUUCGGGUUGUAAACUCCUUUUAUGGGGGAAGAGAGUGGACGGUACCCUAGGAAUAAGUCACGGCUAACUACGUGCCAGCCGCCGCCGUAAGAC